rnacentral:rRNA from 1 species
AGAGUUGAUCUGGCUCAGAUGAACGCUGGCGGCGUGCCUAACACAUGCAAGUCGAACGAGAAAGUCCCUCGGGGGCGAGUACAGUGGCGCACGGGUGAGUAACGCGUGGAUAAUCUACCCAAAGGUCUGGAAUAACAGUUGGAAACGACUGAUAAUACCGGAUGUACUGGCAACGGGAAAGGUGGCCUCUGCUUGCAAGCUACUGCCUUUGGAUGAGUCCGCGUCUCAUUAGCUAGACGGUAGGGUAACGGCCUACCGUGGCAACGAUGAGUAGCAGGCCUGAGAGGGUGGCCUGCCACACUGGGACUGGAACACGGCCCAGACUCCUACGGGAGGCAGCAGUGGGGAAUAUUGCGCAAUGGGGGAAACCCUGACGCAGCGACGCCGCGUGGAGGAUGAAGGGCCUUUCGGGUCGUAAACUCCUGUCAAGAGGGAAGAAACCUGUGAAGAGUAAUAUGCUUCGCAAUUGACGGUACCUCUAGAGGAAGCACCGGCUAAUUCCGUGCCAGCAGCUGC